AUUGAACGCUGGCGGCAUGCCUUACACAUGCAAGUCGAACGGCAGCACGGGAGCAAUCCUGGUGGCGAGUGGCGAACGGGUGAGUAAUAUAUCGGAACGUGCCCGGUCGUGGGGGAUAACGUAGCGAAAGCUACGCUAAUACCGCAUACGAUCUACGGAUGAAAGCGGGGGAUCGCAAGACCUCGCGCGAUUGGAGCGGCCGAUAUCAGAUUAGGUAGUUGGUGAGGUAAAGGCUCACCAAGCCGACGAUCUGUAGCUGGUCUGAGAGGACGACCAGCCACACUGGGACUGAGACACGGCCCAGACUCCUACGGGAGCAGCAGUGGGAAUUUGGACAAUGGGCGCAAGCCUGAUCCAGCAAUGCCGCGUGCAGGAUGAAGGCC
rnacentral:rRNA from 1 species